GUCCUGCGAUUCCGGUGCAGCGCUCUAACCAUAGAUAUCUUAUAUACACUAGAUAGCGCGUCUAAUUAUUCUGCAAUUCAAAAAUUGAAGCCGUGAUUGCAGACUCAGGAUAUUCCCAUGAAAUGAGAAGACUCGUAUGUUUUCUAUUUCUUAAACAGGGAACUUAAACAUUAAGUUAAACCUAUUCCAAAUACAUUUUCAAACUAUUCAAAUGAUGAAAGUUAUUGUUGUUUUUUAAGCGUUUAUAAGCGAGUGGGAAACUCCAACAUGGCCGCCAUCUAUUCAGAUGGGGGUAACCGCUGGAAUAUUCUUGGCUUCAAUUUUACUGCAAAUAAAUGUAUAAAAUAUACACUCGAAAUUUUCAUCUACAAGAUCCUGUUUACUUUACCCAAUUUCCAGUCAUUUAUUGUUGCUUUCUUUCCAGACAGUACCUUGUUUAUCACUGACACACUGCAGGCUUAUUAAUUUAGUCAUUGUGUUUGCGAUUGCCACAGCUCGGUAACAAUACACAUAAGCUAAGUGUAAUGUCGUCAUAUUUUGGCCAGGUGCCUCCAUAUCUGAAAUUCACCUGCCUUUGUGUGUGACAAGGCUUGUAUAAUUAGCAGAUCAAAUCGCUCAAUUUCUGGUUUGUUUGGUUGACAAAUUCUGACUGACAUGCCAUUCCAUAUUUCUCCUCAGGGCAUUCAUUAUAAAUUGAUCCUUUAAUGCUCUCCAACUUGUGCUAUUCCAAAAUAAUCAUGCCCCUCUUCGUUGAAACACUUGUAUGAACAUAGCAAUCCUCGGAUUGGAAUAAUUCCUGGAGAAUUUUUUGUUCCUAAACCCU